UAGGGACCAGAGACUUCCCUGUCAGCUCAGGGAAAUAUAUCCUCUGACUGCAUGGGAGGCCAGAUCUCAUCAGACAGCCACGAAGUGUCACAGCUCAACG
rfam:Methanosarcina mazei strain Goe1, complete genome.